CCUACGGGUGGCAGCAGUGGGGAAUAUUGGACAAUGGGGGGAACUCUGAUCCAGCGACGUCGCGUGAGUGAAGAAGUAUCUCGGUAUGUAAAGCUCUAUCAGCAGGGAAGAAAAUGACGGUACCUGACUAAGAAGCCCCGGCUAACUACGUCCCAGCAGCCGCGGUAAUACGGAGGGGGCAAGCGUUAUCCGGAUUUACUGGGUGUAAAGGGAGCGUAGACGGUGCAGCAAGUCUGAUGUGAAAGGUCGGGGCCCAACCCCGGGAUUGCAUUGGAAACUGGUGAACUUGAGUACAGGAGAGGUAGGCGGAAGUCGUAGUGUAGCGGUGAAAUGCUUAGAUAUUAGGAGGAACACCAGUGGCGAAGGCAGCUUACUAGACUGUAACUGACGUUGAGGCUCGAAAGCGUGGGGAGCAAACAGGAUUAGAUACCCGAGUAGUC
rnacentral:rRNA from 1 species